UUUUCUCCCACAGAAUCACUCUAUAGAGACAACAAUUUCAAGCAGUGUUGCCAAAAGGCAUCUGACAUUGGAUAAUAAUGCAUAUGAAUUUUCACAAGUAAAAAUCAGAUAUGAAGGGAUGUGCUGUGCAGCUGUUACAAGGAUGAAAAUAUGGCUACCUCACUGGUUGUGAUGUUUCUUCAGCGAGCAAAUCUUCAUCAAUAAUCAGGAUUAAAAAAUAAAACCAAGAAAAAGAAACAAGAUAAACGGAAACCGUGCAGUUUUUCCUUGUUUUACCAGAUACAAGAAA